rnacentral:rRNA from 1 species
GAUGAACGCUGGCGGCAUGCCUAACACAUGCAAGUCGAUCGGUAAGGCUCUUCGGAGUACACGAGAGGCGGACGGCUGAGUAACGCGUAGGAACACACCCUGCAGUGAGGGAUAAGACACCGAAAGGUGUUCUAAUACCGCAUACGGUCUUCGGAUUAAAGCAUUUAUGCGCUGAAGGAGUGGCCUGCGUCAUAUUAGAUAGUUGGUGAGGUAAUGGCUCACCAAGUCGAUGAUGUGUAGCUGGUCUGAGAGGAUGAUCAGCCAGACUGGAACUGAGACACGGACCAGACUCCUACGGGAGGCAGCAGUGAGGAAUAUUUCACAAUGAGCGAAAGCUUGAUGGAGCAAUGCCGCGUGCAGGAUGAAGGCCCUCGGGUUGUAAACUGCUUUUAUAAGAGAAGAUUAUGACGGUAACUUAUGAAUAAGGGACGGCUAACUACGUG